CUGUCAUCUCACCGUGGUCCCUAGAGGAGCUGUCUCUCUCUGUUUUCUGUGCUCCACUCUUUUACCCCCGUUUCUGAUGGGGAGGUGGCAGUGUGCACACAUGCCCGUCUGGGGCUAGGAGUCUGCGUGCAGAAUCCAGGAAGUGCUUUCAGCCUCUGAAAUGACACUUCCUAUGUUCCGACAACAAUGGAGUGCCAGUCACACAGGAUGAGCACACACGGCGGACGGCGGCUGGCUGGGGUGAUUGGUUCAUUCUGGAGUUGUCAUAGAAAUGGAAUCGUAUAGUAUGUGGUCCUCUGCAGCUGAUUCUUUUACUCAGCAUGAUGCUUUCAAGAUUCAAUAAUAGUCCAUUGUAAGGAUGUGCCACGUUUUGUUUAGCAAGCAGGAGUGGAAUUGCUGGGUCACGCCUAGGAGUGGAAUAUACACUGAUGAGUGGAAUUGCUGAGUCACAUGCCCUGACCUCCGCCAACUGACUUCCCGCCUCUGUCCUAACUGGCUUGACUUCCGCCAUCCGGUACCCACCACCCGCCCUGACCUUGACCUGGCCCGGCGGACGCCCCCGCGGCCCUCGGGAAUUUCUGCGGACGCUCCCGGGACCCCCGGAGCGAACCGCGGAAGACGACAGGACUACGGCACGCCGACGCCUCCGCGCAAAGUGAUUUCUCG
ensembl:lncRNA